AAGCUGGAAUUGCUAGUAAUGGCAGGUCAGCAUACUGCCGUGAAUACGUUCCCGGGCCUUGUACACACCGCCCGUCACACCAUGAGAGUUGGGAAUACCCGAAGCCUGUGAGCUAACUUAUAGAGGCAGCAGUCGAAGGUAGAAUCAAUGAUUGGGGUGAAGUCGUAACAAGGUAAC
rnacentral:rRNA from 1 species